CUAAAUCCCCAGCUCCAGGUUUUUGAGUUUUUAAUAUACUCUAGAUAUUAGCCCUCUGUCUAGGGAAUAACCGGCAAAAAAUUUCCUCCCUUGGGUAGAUUGUUUCUUCACUUUGUUGGUUGUUUCAUUUGCUGUGCAGAAGCUCUUUAAUAUAAUCCCGUUUGUUGAUUCUUGAUGUUAUUUCUUGUGCAACCGGGCUUCUAUUUAAGAAAGACCUUGCCUACGCCUAGUUUUACUUAUUUUAUCUUCCAGUAGAUUGAGUUUCUGUUUUAAACCUUAGAUCUUUGACCCACUUUGAUUUUAGUUUAGUGCGUGGUGAGAGAUACGGCUCUAGAUCCAAUCUUCUGCGUGUGUAUGGCCAGUUUUCCCAGCACCAUUUGCUUCAAGGGGCUGUCUUUCCCCCAGUGCAUGUUUUUGGCUCCUUUGUCAGAAAUCAGAUAGCUAGAUGCGCCUGGCGGUGUCUCUGCAUCCUCUAUUCUGUCCCACUGACCCACAGGUUUGCUUUUGGCCAGUGCCGUGUUGAAAUCUUAACCCUCAGUGUGAUAGUAUUAGGAAAGGGACCUUUGGGAGGCAAUUGGGUGGUGAAGAUGGAGCCUGCAUUAGUGAGGUUAGUGCCCUAAUCAAGGGACCCCACAUCUCUCUCUCCCUCCCUGUCCCUUCCCCGCCUCUUUCAGAUAUAAGUAGCUGCUGUGUCCAGGCUGAAAAAGGACCCUUGUAGAUGCCCAGUCACGCUGAUGCUCUGAGCUCGGGAAUCCCACCUCCAGAGCUGUGAGAAAUACAUGUCUGUUGUUCAUAUGUUGCUGUCCAUGGCACCUUGUAGUAUGAGCCCAAAGGAAGACAGCAACUAUUUGCAAACCAUGGACAGAGGCUCCCCUGACAGCACACCUGCCGAGACCUUAGAUGUUGAGUCUCCAGAACGACGAGGAAACUGAGCCGCAGAGAGAGCAAAUGAAAUGCCCAAGUUCACCAAGCGGGUUGCCUUGCGGAGACAGCCGGUUCCACCGCAAGAAGAUUCUAGCAGAAGCGCGAGAGAGUGAGCCGCACAACCUUCUCUGCUGCGGUGGGUGAGACUGAGUCACUGAGAAGCCAGGAGACGGAGAAGACGGAGAUGAGCAGGGAAGAGAGGAAGCGGGAGGAUGAAAGAAAAGAUCCGGAAGGUGUUUACCGAGGAUUCACCGCCCACCAGCCUUGCAUAUCUUAAUUUACCCCUUUACUGUCAUUUCCCGGUGUGGUGAGUUAGUGAUCCUUGUGUUACACAUGAGAAAUGAGGCCGCAGGAGGUGGCGCGGGGCGUCUGUUUCACCUCGAAGUUUGUCUUCUUGCUUCUGUAGCAGAUGAGUGAGAGAGAAGGAAGGCAAAGUGAGCUUUUGUUGUGGGUGAAGUUUAUAACCGGUGCCUGUGUGAGGCAGAACAACGGGCUCCCCAAAAUGUCCACAUCCCGGCUCCUGGAACCUGUGAAUGUUCCCCCACUUGAUGGAAAGGACUUUUCAGAUGAAGCCACGCCUUUUCCCAGUCUUCCUAGGCCUUGCGGGACUUAGAAGGCCGUAUAGAGCGCUAUGUGAGAAAGCAAAACCAAACCCAAGGUUCCUUCCAGUUCCUUCCAGGUCAUCUGCAAACUUGUCGGGGUGCGGUGGGAGUCCCGAAUUGUGUCCAGCAAAAGGAGAAGUUUCUGGGAAUCCCCAGCAGUUGUGCCUGGGAGAGUCUCUCAGGCCUGUUGGCAGAAGAAGCGGGAUUGUGAGUCAAGACCUGUGUCCUGGGGCUGGUGACUGAGCUCUGACCUUCAAGGAGUGGAUUGCUUCUCCGAGCCUUAGCUGGACCUUUCUGCAGAAUGAUAUGCAUCUAGAUGAACAAGCCCACAGCUUGACUGUUCUGUCUGUGUAUUUUCUUUGCUCUUCCUUGGUGAAACCUAUGUCAUCCCCUUCUGGGCCCAAAGAGUCACCCUCAGAUAAAGGAAUUUUGUUAAUGUCCAUAUGAGCAGGCACAAACACUC